rnacentral:rRNA from 1 species
AUUGAACGCUGGCGGCAGGCCUAAAACAUGCAAGUCGAGCGCGCGGCGGACGGGUGAGUAAUGUAUGGGGACUGCCCGAUAGAGGGGGAUAACUACUGGAAACGGUAGCUAAUACCGCAUACUAUCGGAUAACCCAUAUGGGAUUAGCUAGUAGGUGAGGUACUGGCUCACCUAGGCGACGAUCCCUAGCUGGUCUGAGAGGAUGAUCAGCCACUCUGGGACUGAGACACGGCCCAGCCUGUGACGGAGGCAUCAGUGGGGAAUAUUGCACAAUGGGUGCAAGCCUGAUGCAGCCAUGCCGUGUGUAUGAAGAAGGCCCUAGGGUUGUAAAGUACGUUCAGUCGGGAGGCGUUACCGACAGAAGAAGCACCGGCUAAAUCCGUGCCAGCAGCCGCGUAAUUC